AUACGUAGGUCCCGAGCGUUGUCCGGGAUUUAUUGGGCGUAAAGCGAGCGCAGGCGGUUUGAUAAGUCUGAAGUUAAAGGCUGUGGCUCAACCAUAGUUCGCUUUGGAAACUGUCAAACUUGAGUGCAGAAGGGGAGAGUGGAAUUCCAUGUGUAGCGGUGAAAUGCGUAGAUAUAUGGAGGAACACCGGUGGCGAAAGCGGCUCUCUGGUCUGUAACUGACGCUGAGGCUCGAAAGCGUGGGGAGC
rnacentral:rRNA from 1 species